GAGUUUGAUCUUGGCUCAGAUUGAACGCUGGCGGCAUGCCUUACACAUGCAAGUCGAACGGCAGCACGGGAGCUUGCUCCUGGUGGCGAGUGGCGAACGGGUGAGUAAUGCAUCGGAACGUAUCCUGGAGUGGGGGAUAACGUAGCGAAAGUUACGCUAAUACCGCAUAUUCUGUGAGCAGGAAAGCGGGGGACCUUCGGGCCUCGCGCUCUUGGAGCGGCCGAUGUCGGAUUAGCUAGUUGGUGAGGUAAAGGCUCACCAAGGCGACGAUCCGUAGCAGGUCUGAGAGGAUGAUCUGCCACACUGGAACUGAGACACGGUCCAGACUCCUACGGGAGGCAGCAGUGGGGAAUUUUGGACAAUGGGGGCAACCCUGAUCCAGCCAUGCCGUGUGAGUGAAGAAGGCC
rnacentral:rRNA from 1 species